rnacentral:rRNA from 1 species
AGGGGCGCGUCCCAUUGCCCAUUCAGGCUGCGCCAACUGUUGGGAAGAGCGGAUCGGGUGCGGGCCUUUUCGCUAUUACGCCCAGCUGGCGAAAGGGGGAUGUGCUGCAAGGCGAUUAAGUUGGGUAACGCCAGGAUUUUCCCAGUCACGACGUUGUAAAACGACGGGCCAGUGAAUUGUAAUCGACUCACUAUAGGGGCGAAUUGGGCCCGACGUGGCAUGCUCCCGGCCGCCAGGGCGGCCGCGGGGAAUUGGAUUACGGGGGUGCAGCAGGCGCGAAACCUCCGCAAUGGGGGAAAGCCUGACGGGGUUAAUCCGAGUGGUUCCUGCUAAAGGAGUCUUUUGCCAGUUGUAAAUAGACUGGUGAAUAAGGAGUGGCCAAGCCUGGUGUCAGCCGCCGCGGUAAUACCACCACCCCGAGUGUCGGGACGAUUAUUGGUGUAAACCAUCCGUAGCCGAGUAUAAAGUCUUCCGUUAAAUCCACUUGCUCACCAAGCGGGCUGCGGAGGAUACUAAUACACUAGGAGCCGGAGAGGCGAGAAGUAUUCCAUGGGUAGGGGUAAAAUCCACUGAUCCAUGGAGGACCACCAGUGGCGAAAGCGUCUCGCCAGAAUGCGCUCGACGGUGAGGGAUGAAAGCUGGGGGACCAAACCGGAUUAGAUACCCGGGUAGUCCCACCUGUAAACGAUGUAGCCUCGGCGACGGAUGGGCUCCGGCCCAAUUCAGUGCCCCAGGGAAGCCGUUAACCCUACCACCUGGGGAGUACGGCCGCAAGGCUGAAACUUAAAGGAAUUGGCGGGGGAGCACAAUCACUAGU